rnacentral:rRNA from 1 species
UGGGAACCUUCCCUUCGGUCGGGAAUAGCUCAGGGAAACUUGAGGUAAUACCGGAUACGCCCUAACGGGGAAAGAUUUAUCGCCGUUGGAUGGGCCCGCGUCGGAUUAGCUAGUUGGUGAGGUAAUGGCUCACCAAGGCGACGAUCCGUAGCUGGUCUGAGAGGAUGAUCAGCCUCACUGGGACUGAGACACGGCCCAGACUCCUACGGGAGGCAG